rnacentral:rRNA from 1 species
UGUGUAGGCUGUUCUCUAAGUUUGGUGUGAAAUCUCCCGGCUUAACUGGGAGGGUGCGCCGAAAACUGGAGGGCUUGAGUAUGGGAGAGGAAAGCGGAAUUCCUGGUGUAGCGGUGAAAUGCGUAGAUAUCAGGAGGAACACCUGCGGUGUAGACGGCUUUCUGGACCAUCACUGACGCUGAGACACGAAAGCGUGGGAGCAAACA